CGGACGGGUGAGUAAUGUCUGGGAAACUGCCCGAUGGAGGGGGAUAACUACUGGAAACGGUAGCUAAUACCGCAUAACGUCGCAAGACCAAAGAGGGGGACCUUCGGGCCUCUUGCCAUCGGAUGUGCCCAGAUGGGAUUAGCUAGUAGGUAAGGUAACGGCUUACCUAGGCGACGAUCCCUAGCUGGUCUGAGAGGAUGAUCAGCCACACUGGGACUGAGACACGGCCCAG
rnacentral:rRNA from 1 species